CCAAAUAACUGAACACUCGCCAGAAUGCCGGAUCUGGCAUUAAUUUACAUUGAAAUGUAUUAGUGCCGGAUCCGGAAUUAAAAAUACGGCAAUGCCGGAUACGUCCUUCUGGUCUGCCAAUGCGCAGACCUCUAAAAAUGUGAAAAAAAUUUAAUCAGAUCCGUUUGUCCGUAUGACAAAC